GCCAGGCAUGGUGAUGCAUGCCUGUAGUCCCAGCUACUCAGGAGGCUGAGGUAGGAGGAUCACUUGAGCCCAAGAGGUCGAGGCUGCAGUGAGCUGUGAUUGCACCAAUGCACUCCAGCAUGGGCAACAGAGUGAGACCCUGUCUCAC
rnacentral:SRP_RNA from 1 species